UACGGAGGGUGCAAACGUUGCUCGGAAUCAUUGGGCGUAAAGCGCACGUAGGCGGCUUGUUAAGUCGGAUGAGAAAGCCCUCGGCUCAACCGAGGAAGUGCAUUCGAAACUGGCAGACUUGAGUACGGGAGAGGGUUGCGGAAUUCUCGGUGUAGAGAUGAAAUUCGUAGAUAUCGGGAGGAACACCUGUGGCGAAGGCGGCAACCUGGACCGAUACUGAGGCUGAGGUGCGAAAGCGUGGGGAGCAAACAGG
rnacentral:rRNA from 1 species